AGCUCGCUGGCAGGAAGUUCGGGGUUCACGGUUUUACCCUCUUCCCCUAAACACCUCUGAGCACGACAUUCGGCUUGGUGUUUAGUACAGAAACAACCCCAAGUUUGCCCAGUGCCCUCAGAAAGGGGGGGGAAGCAGCGAAGAGGCAAACCCCGCCAUCCGAUCCCUCCUGCAGGUGCCCUGUCCCCACCCGGAGCCCCCCAGAACCAGCCAGCGGCUCCUGCCUCCCCCGGGGCCCGCAGGGAGCACCGGCCGGAGCCCCAGCCCCGACAGCGGGGACACUCACAGGACUUCUGUGAGGCUUUGUUGAACUUCAUGGGCAGCUGCCUGAUGUGUCAUUCUUCCCAUGGCUGUUCCUGGCUGGUUCAGUGGGAGUUUGCAACACAUCAAUCAGCUCAAGGAGGGUGAUUUUCCUCGGAGAGGAGGUUUUGAUUAAAGCUACAGUACUUGCUGGUGAUCUGAGGAGUGAGCGAGGCACCGGCCUCGGGCGUUCAGGCGAAUUUCAGCAUUCAGAUGUCACAAGGGACAGCUCAGACACAGCUGAAGCAGAGGGACACGAAGGGACACAGCUUGGCUCUCUGCACUGAUGCACAUGCACAGAAUAAAGGAGGUACACAGAACCCACUCAUGCCUUGGGGUGUAAAAUUGAAUUCCUGAUUAGGCUCUGCUACCUACUCUUCCUUCCUUCGCCAAUUUUAGUAAUUUGUAACUCAGUGUGUUUUCCUUAAGAAUGCACACUGGCCAAAGUGAAAAAAAGUUGUGUAAGACUGAAAAUUGGUAGUGGUAGCCCCCACACUAAGGAAUACUUCUAAUUUAAAUUUUAAAAGUACUAUUCUGGUUGCUGCUGAAGUGUCUAAUUUUAAAAUUCACUUUUCUCCUGAAAAGAUAAAAUGCUGCUUCUGCUAGUGGUUUACAGAAAUAGACUAUCUGCACUCAAGUGCUCUCAACAGUGAAAGUGCACAAAUAAUCUUUCUUUACAGUUUCAAAAACUGAACUGGUGGCUGGUAAUUACAGGUAUAACAUUUUAAGAAACACAGGCAGCUUUCUAAAAGCCUAGAGGCCAAGGAUCAGAGAAACACAUUUGUCUUAGAUGCCAAUCCCAUGUCUUCCCAAUUCUGAAAUAUGAAAUAUUUUCAUUACUUUUUCUGGUGGCUAACACACAUGGCACAGACCCUGUAAUGCUGACUUCCAGAAUGUUCUCACUCCAAACCACAGCAGGUAAACAACACACACCCAACAGCCUGCAAGCAUCUUGCUGCAGAGACAAUCAGAUAAACCAGCCUUGAAGAUAAACAUGGCAGAAUGAGAGUCCCCAUCUGAAACAAGCCCUUAGGAGGAAUUCUGACCCAAAUCACAUGAACAUGGCAAGGGUUACUUUAUAAGUUGUUACAUGGAGCUCUCUGAUCCACAUUAGUAAGAGCUUGCCUUCCACACAGUUGUCUCUGCAUUGCAAAGCUCCUGGUGAUCACUCCGUUUUCUCAGAGCAAGAAUUUGGCCGGACCUGUCAGGGUUCCUGCUCCUCCCAGCAAUGCACCUUGCCAUGUUCCUGCUCCCUCACAGCUCCCAGCAGGGCUGUCACCUGCUUCAAAUCCCAGCUUCACUCAGCACCAGCAGCCCUGGAGCACCGCCUGUUAUGGUGAGAAGGUUCAGGAAUAAGAGAACAAGCAGCUGUGACACGCUGGGUGGGAGUACAGAUUCAGCAUUCCCAUCACAGGGAUGAGCUUCUUUGUGCAGGCACACAGCAGAACUUGUCUGUGAGGAAUCAGAACCUUCACACCAGGGGACAGAAACACAUGGCAUCCAGGAGAUGCUGUGAGCUAUCCUGCUGCAUCCCAUCUUCAAAGGAGAUCAAGGAAUGGAUUCUUCACUUUGAUCUGUGUUGGCCUCCAGCAUCUGCAUGAAACACUUGGGCGAAGUCUGCCCAAGCCUGGCUUUAGACUUCUCAGCAAAUACUUCUCCAAGGUGCCACAAUACAUCAGAUUGUGUCUUCAAUCUGAAACACUCUGUGUAGCAUCAAGUCAGCAUUAUUAAAAGCCUCCAACCCCACAUUUCUUCAAAAGGUAAAUGAAGCAGAACCAGGUUUUGGUGUAGUCCCAAGACAGAAACAGUACUUUCAGCAAAUAUCCGAUGGACAGUGACUCCCUUGCUUUCUCAUUAUUCCAACUCUUAAUAAAAACCUUGUCCCAACUCCCUUUCACCAGAGGGACUGGUUGCCAGGUAGGGAGGGACUGUAUGAGGGAGGCCUCUUCUCUUCCCUGCUAAGUUAUGUUUUGAAGCAGCAAAGUUGCAUCAUCAUUUAACACAAACACCAUCCUGUCACUUCAGACCUAGAGCUGUCAACCAGCGCCAAAAUUCAGGAAGAGAAAACCCCAGCCAUGUGAGACAGCUGCUGUAGGACUGGUUGAGCUGGAGAGCUCCGAGUUCCUGCUAAGAGGUUGUAACCAAACCAUCUGCAGAAGAUACAGGUGAGCAGAUAUACAGACAUCAGUGAUGGAGACAAGAGGUACCACGUGGAAGUGAGCAGUCACACUCACUUUUCCUGUGAAUACCAGGCAAUUAGGACACAGGCAGCAGUCAGAUUCAUUGGUCAGCAAUUAAGUGUAGAGCCCUUCGAGAUAAGUUAAAGCAGAACAAAGGAACAUUGCCCAUGCUCUUUGUGCCAGAGACAGAUAUUUUGCUCAAGGAGUGAUGCAAAGUCAAUUGCAGGAGCACAUUCAGCCCAAAAUGAGCAAGAGAGAACUGUAAUCCUACUGAGCCAAGGCCUCUGGAUACAACAUCCUUCUUCAGCAUCAGCUCUUUGUGCCUUCCUAACUCAGAGAUGCCACGUGGCCAGCAGUCCCCAAGCUCUCUCCCAGCUUCUCAGAUGUAGGUCAACGUGGAUGCUCCUCUGGAACUGCAAAUCCCACUUGGAGAGCAGCAUCAUUGCUGUUGGUGACAGUGACAAGUGCUGCCAAGGCCAAGAGCACACAUCUAUCAUCUGUCCAUUCCUCUUCGGAGUCCGUGCUGAACUCCAUGGCAGUCAGCUUGCAAGUCCAUACUGGAAAACUCUAUUUACUCCAAACAAAUAAGCAAUAAAUGAAAAUUCUGAAAGGUGGAGAGAAAAAACACUCCCAUAGCUGUAAGUUUAUUAAACCUAGCAUGGUUGAAAAGCAAAAGACGAAAAACAUGAUAUAUUUUUGUUUAUUAUUGCUCUUAAAGGGCUUGGUAGUCAAAUAUACAAGCUAUGCUCUAUUAAACCAGAAGAAAAUAAGAUAUAAAAUCUAUGCUCACUUUUCCAAUCCAAUCCACCUGCUAAUCUUCAUUAGUGACAUUAACUUCAGCUACUUCCAGUCAUUUUAAUUUAUACAUAAUCUGUGUACGUGUGCGCGCGCAAGUAUAAAAACCCCUAUUUGAGAGAUAAAAUUCAAAAUCAAGAGAUUCGUGUUGGUUUUGUACUGUAUUGUGCACUGCUGUAGGUUUCAGUUUUUCAAGUGGUUACUGAUAUGUCUGUUUAGAAGAGCAUAAUUUAAGUAUCUGAUGAUGUAUUUAUUAUAUUUCCAAAAAGAAAGCAUGACCAAUAAGUUAUGAUAAGAAAAUAUGAAAUGUUGAUUAUUCUCCCCUUGAUGUACAUGCACUAAUCCCAUGAUCCUGAAUAGGGAGUUACAUGCACUAAGAGGAGAAAAGGAUCCUGUAAAGAGAAAGGAAUUAAUAGCCUUUCUCCUCUAAGCAGCUCCCCUCUUCUCAGCAUUAAGAAGGGAUUUAUUUUGUGAAAUUCUCAUCAUGCCCAUUAAUAUACUGCUCAAAAUGUAAGUAUAAAACAUAGUCAAUGGUCAGCCUGCUUAGCAAGCCUCUUCUGCUAAGCCAGUACAAUUUAUAUAUACUCAAUAUCAUCUUCAGGAAGCAAGUAUACAGCAUUUGUAACAUUUUUCUAGGAAACAAGAACUAUACCCAUUACUGAAUUACUUAAGAAAAAAAAAAAAGAAAAAAAAAAAAGAACCCCCCACUGUUCUCAGUCCUCUGGUUAAAAACAGGGAAAAGACAGAGUGAACUUUAUCAGCAUUUGGAUGUCUGACUGUAUUUGAAGACAAAUUACAAAAACAUCCAGUAAACAGAGCUAUAGCUAGGCUCUGCUCUCCUCAGUUCCCAAAGCAUAUUUCAAAUUCCACUACCAUUUGCAACAGAUUUGCAGCCCCUCUCUUAGGGAAGAUUUAUUGAGGGGACAAAGAUGACACACUAACGUUGGGGGUCUGGGUACAAGGAGUCUAACAGGAGACAGACAGAACUCAGGUCAGCCUUCAAAUGCUCUUGUUGAAAAGACCACAAAUAAAAAUCAAGUGCAUGACAGAACAAGUGAUUAAUGACCCCAAGUAAAAUAUUUUUCUAAGUUACAAAAUUGCUCUUCCAGUGUUUGAAAACAGAAAAACCUGUGGGAGAAGAGGUUACAUUCCAACAGUUAAGAGCAAAUUCAGAAAGAAGGUAAAUUAUUACUCUCUUAUCUUGGUUACUGGAGCAAAGAUGAAAACAACAACCAGUGCUUUGAUAAAAUCUGCUCUUUACAAAAGUGAGAUAAAUAUUCUAGUGGCAGCUGGGUUAAAGAUACAGACCCUGAGGGUUAGCUUCUGCCCUCAGCCGUAAUCUGCAACUCAUUUCACCCACUUCUGUGAGCAGCCAAAUGCAGAUUGUGACCUUCAGACUUGAACAUAUAGGUAUAGUUACCACCUGAUUGCAAAUAAUUCUCCAGGUAUGCAUACAGCAGCAACCUACAGAAACCUCCAAAUGUGCGUUUGUAAAAAAAGGAAAGGAAGGAAAAAAGGGAGACAGGUACAGACAUGAUUCUGAGCUCUAAUUUUCAGUGAAAAAGAUCAGAAUGUCAACAAGCAAAACUAAAGAUGCUUAAAAUCCCUGAAGAGACCUUAUACUCUUUCUAAUGCUUUAACAGCACAGCUCACCUUGCAAAAAACUUCACAUGAACAUCUAAAGCAUGAUCAAGUCAAAAGAGCAGCACACCCUAUCCUGACACACACAGGGUAAAGUCCUGGCCCCAUCUGAAUCCAUGCUGAAACUCUCAUUAGAAGUUCAAGAGAUACCAGCAUUCAAAAUUUGACUGCUACAGACCUCUCCUUUUCACAUUUUUUU